UAUAAAAAAAGAGUAACUGGAAAGUAAACAACUAUUGCUGUAAUAAAAAUAUAAGAAUAACACCUCUGUAGAUUUAGCGAUAAAUUAUAACAGUAUAAUAUUUUCAAUUAUUUAUAUUUCAAUUUUACUAUCACAAAUAUGUCCCUUCAAAACCAUAACAGUAUAAUAUAAGUGGGAUAAAAAUGUCAAAACAUAUUAUAGAAAAAUUUAGGGAUAAACCCUAAAUCCACUCAAUUUUAAAUUUAAAUAUUUAAUAAAUAUUUUAGAAAAAGUAAGUUGUCACGUUCCUGGUUGAAAUGAUUCUAUAAUUUUUUUAAAAUCCAAUCUUUCAAAAUUUUAUUUUGAUUAUCCAAUUUUUCGAUAUAUUAGAUUUCAGUCAGUCGAUGAUAUUUUGACUUUAAAAAUCUGAGUGCAUCGCUUUUCGAUAUAUUAGAUUUGAGUCAGUCGACGGUAAAAUUAACUUAAACUCAAUCAAUCUUUCUUUUAUUUUUUAAUGUGCAAUUUAUAUCUAAAUACUUAAUAUUAUAAAAUUAACAUUUAUAUUAAAUACAAAUAAUUUAAACUAUUUAAAAAUUAUUUAUAUAUUUUU
rnacentral:lncRNA from 1 species